CGCGUAGGCGGACUUUCAAGUCGGAUGUGAAAUCUCCGGGCUCAACUCGGAGCCUGCAUCCGAUACUGUUGGUCUUGAGUAUAUCAGAGGAAAGCGGAAUUCCAGGUGUAGCGGUGAAAUGCGUAGAUAUCUGGAAGAACACCAGUAGCGAAGGCGGCUUUCUGGGGUAAUACUGACGCUGAAGCGCGAAGGCUGGGGGAGCAAACA
rnacentral:rRNA from 1 species